rnacentral:rRNA from 1 species
AACGAACGCUGGCGGCAUGCCUAACACAUGCAAGUCGUACGAGACCUUCGGGUCUAGUGGCGCACGGGUGCGUAACGCGUGGGAGCCUGCCCUUAGGUUCGGAAUAACUCCCCGAAAGGGGUGCUAAUACCGGAUAAUGUCUUCGGACCAAAGAUUUAUCGCCUUUGGAUGGGCCCGCGUUGGAUUAGCUAGUUGGUAGGGUAAAAGCCUACCAAGGCGACGAUCCAUAGCUGGUCUGAGAGGAUGAUCAGCCACACUGGGACUGAGACACGGCCCAGACUCCUACGGGAGGCAGCAGUGGGGAAUAUUGGACAAUGGGCGAAAGCCUGAUCCAGCAAUGCCGCGUGAGUGAUGAAGGCCUUAGGGUUGUAAAGCUCUUUUACCCGGGAUGAUAAUGACAGUACCGGGAGAAUAAGCUCCGGCUAACUCCGUG